rnacentral:lncRNA from 1 species
CUUCAUGGUGGAUGGAACACAACGGCAAGAAAACAUGCUGGGGGAGAGCCUAUGGUGAGACAAAAAGCCAGAGACCAAGGAGGGAACAUUUCUUGCUCUCUUAUAACAGCACACUCUUGGUUCCACCACCUCCUAAUACCGCCACACUGAGAUCCAAGCUGCCAGGUCAUGGACACAUAUGGGGUCCGUAUGUGUUUGAGCCAUAGGUGGGAUCGGGAGCAGUCAAAGAUGGUAACUUGGCUUUUCUCAUUCUGGGAACAUCUGAUGGAGAAAGUCAAGGCUGCUGGGAUUUGACCGUGGCCUAAGGAUUCUGAAGAACUUCCCUGAAAGUGAAAGUUUUGAAUAAGCCAACAUGGCCGCAGACCUGACAUCCAUUCCAUGUGCGGUCUGACCUGUGGCUUCCAGACUCUUGGAUACGGACAAUCAUGAAAGCCAGAGUCCACAUGCCCUCACUCUUUGAGCUGCUGUUAAUGAAGACACCAACCCCGACGAUGGGUAGAUCCUAAGAGCACCUCCUGUAUCUUCUCCUUGCAGGAAGUGCUCGACCUUUGUCAGCAGAGUGGACCACGUGUGGGGAGAAGACAGCCGACUUGACUUCUGAGGCCACUUUAGACACACUGUGUUUCUAGCUUCUUUUCCCAUUGUUGGUGACACAUCCUGAAGGAAAGACCAAGCAGACUGCUUUUUUGGUUAGGAACAUUUCAAAGUUUAUUUUGAUUCUUCUUCUGACUUACAGAAAUUAUCCAAACAACUUUGGCUACAUCUAUUUUCAUCUGCAUAUGGUAUUUGCAACGACUCCAAAGUGGAAGACGUAUUUACACAAUGACAUUUCCCAUUGCGCGCGAUGCCCUUUGUCUAAACAUCCUGGGACGCAGUCACGUGACCUUUGACGAUCGUGUCUCCUAGGAGAAUCCUGGACAUGCC